rnacentral:rRNA from 1 species
GACGAACGCUGGCGGCGUGCUUAACACAUGCAAGUCGAACGGAAAGGCCCGCAUCAUUUUUGUGGUGGGGGUGCUCGAGUGGCGAACGGGUGAGUAACACGUGGGUGAUCUGCCCUGUACUUCGGGAUAAGCUUGGGAAACUGGGUCUAAUACCGGAUAGGACCAUGGUUUAGUGUCUCAUGGUGGAAAAAUUAUUGUUUUGGUGCAGGAUGAGCUCGCGGCCUAUCAGCUUGUUGGUGGGGUAAUGGCCUACCAAGGCGUCGACGGGUAGCCGGCCUGAGAGGGUGGACGGCCACAUUGGGACUGAGAUACGGCCCAGACUCCUACGGGAGGCAGCAGUGGGGAAUAUUGCACAAUGGGCGCAAGCCUGAUGCAGCGACGCCGCGUGGGGGAUGACGGCCUUCGGGUUGUAAACUCCUUUCGUUAGGGACGAAGCCACACCUUUUUU